AGGUACUUUCUGUGGCAUGUUUUCAUGGUGUGGGAAUAAGACUUGGUGGUCAAAUACAGCUAAUAUGUAGGUUAGCACCACAGCUUGUCUGCAAGGAUUGAAGCUGGGAAACGGCCAUUGGAGCUGAAUUUUAUGGAAGCUGUGGCUGCAGCCAUGAUUAUGUGAUAAAACUGAAGAAUGUUAUUCAAAUUUUUUUUGUAUAUAUUUCAAAAAAUGUAAUUUUUUAUAAAAAAAAAAAAAAAAGGUGUAAAGAUUCUCCAUUUUCAAUUAGAUUGGAAGCUUGUAUUAACAAUUGUUAGAUCUUCUUCGUUAUUCCCCCACCCCCUGUAUCUCUAUUUCAUUUUUACUUUGAAAAUGAAAUGGAACAGACAAAUUUUACUUGUCAACUUAAUAAUGGUCUGUCUAGUCAAAAGGCCUCCAGUUGGUUUAGAAUGGAGAAUCUAAAAAAAAAAUGUAAAGUGUUUUUUUUUAGUUUCCUGAAUUUUUAUAUACAUUUUGUUAUUGCUCCCUUUCAAUUUUUAUAAAUUCCAGAUUUUAAGUUUUGGAUUUAUGGGGCUUUAUUCAUAAAAAAGGGGGAUUUUUCACACCUGGACAAUAACUCAAAAAGGCUUUCACCAAUGUCCAUGAAACUUUGGUGAAUUGUUUAUAUCUAUUGGCAUAAGCUCCCUUUCCCUUUUUAUUAAUUUUAGAUUUUACGUUUUCUUAAGUAAUGAAUUUUUAUACUUAAAAAAGGGGGAUUUUAUGCAGUUUUGGUGAAACUUAAAAGAGCAAUGGCCGUAUCAUGUGCUAAAGCGCAUCCCUUUAUUGAAAUGUGUUGUAGUUUUUACAUAUUAUUAUUUCUUUAUUUUAAUUAUACAAAUUUUGUAUUGUUAAAUAUUUAAAGGGUGUGGAGUCUCAACAGGGUGAAAUUUUCAGGACAAAAGGGAGGUAAUUCCUUUGUUAUACUCAUUAUACUUGAAAUUUCCUGAGUGUUUAUAUGGAAUAUAACUUUUUUAAUUAAAAUAUUCACUUUUGUACACAUUUUCUUUAAAUAUCAGAUGUAUACUUGCUAAAAUUACUUUUAUUUAGAGUUCUGUAAAUAAAAAAAAAUGUAAGCAGAGUUCUAGCUAUAGAUAAUGGAUUUGGAGGGUGGGAGAAAUUGUGGGUAACUACAAUUGAUUAGGUGAAAUUUCAAAAGACUUAAAAAGUGCAUCUGAUAUUUAUUUUUACAUAAUGUUAUUUCUGAAAGCAAAUGGACAAUAAGAUGAGGACAUAAACCACCUUCCAGGUUAGGAUAGCAGCUCUUAAGGAAGAUGGUCAAUUAAAUCUUCAACCCAGUCUGAGGCCUUACCAGGAAAAAUGUGUGGUUGUUGAAAUUACAAUGUUUUCAUGGUGUGGGGAGUAAGACUUGAAUAUCUGAUAUUGUUAACAUGAUGGUUAGCAUCACAAGUUUCCUUUGGGUAACUUGCUUGAGGAGUAAAGAGAGCUGUUUAAGUUGAAAGUGUCACCUUUGCUGCCUUGUGUGGUACAAUCUUCAGACAAUAUCCUGCAAACCGUGGCUGAACUGUUACUAUCUUUUUUUAGUAGAAUCCUUAGACAGUAAUCUUGUGGCAGAAUGAGUUGUAAACAAAUUGUUUUUAUUCCUGUAUUGAGUUUCAAAUUGGAUAUUUUUUAUUUAUAUUAUUUGUAUUCCAUUUGCAUUCAAUUAUUGUUUUUUAAUUGAUGAAUCAUUAAAACUUAAAUUUUGCGGGGUCUUAAAGGACUUUCUUAGAGGGGGCCAGCGCAAUUGAUUAAACAAAAUUUUUCCCGCAACAGGGAGAGGAGACAUCCCCAUAAAUAUGCCUUUGAAAUGGGGUGUUAAAGAAGAUUUGUAUUGUUUGUUUGUUUGUCCAUCAUCAGCUCUCAUCCACAGCUUGGUAGAUUUUCAUUGAAACUUUCAGCUGAUUUUCUGUACUAAAGGCAGUAUGUUUUUU